UUUGAAUUAUAUAGGAAUAUUCUUGGCCUCACAUAAAUGGUAUAGACUAGUUAUGUGUUGUCACGUGUCGGUUCUCUGUUUCUAGCGAUACCGAAAUAUUAAUUCUCUAGUGGCUAGGACUCGAAUUCUAGUGGUUUCACCUUCUUGAGUUUUUCUCUUCAAAUUAAUCAACACCAUAUCACAAGCACUGGUUUUUAUUUUAUUAUUUAAAGGAAAAGUUCAUGAACAUGGCAAACUCUAUCGUUCCACGUAUGUCCCACGAAGGAUAAAACGUCACAAUAAGUAAUUUUUGAAAUUUAGAGUUCCCCCAAAUACCGGGUCAAGGUUUUUUUUAUAUCAACACCCUCUUAUUUUAUUAUUUAAAGGAAAAGGUCAUGAACACGAUAAGUAUCUACCGUUCCACGUAUGUCCCACGAAAGAUAAACGUCACAAUACGUCACGGUUAUGUGUUUCCAUGCCGUGACACAAAAUAAUAUUUGAAAUUGUGUCCCCGCAAAUACCGGGACAAGUUUUUUUAUAUAACCCCACACCUUUCGUCUUGUUCAUAAUAACAAACAAGAGAAGAUUAAUUAACAGAACAGCAAGCGACAACAUAGAAAGAAGCGCUCUGCUCUGCUGCAUAUUUUUUUUUCUUAGUUCUUCUUUUUCGUUUUUGAUCUGAAAAUUUUAGAUUUCUCAUGGAGAAUAUGGUAAAUUCGCAUCCGGUGGGUUUCAGAUUCCAUCCGACCGACGAGGAGAUCAUUGGCUAUUACCUCAGGGCAAAAAAUAUGGAUGGCAACACGACUCAUGUCAAUGAAUUCAUUAACACAGUCGAUAUCUAUAGCUUGGAUCCUUGGGAGUUACCUUCCCAGUCGAGUUCGAUAAGGAAGGACUAUGUUUGGUAUUUCUUCGGUCGUAAAGACAACAAAUAUGUGCACACAAAAAGAAAAGUAAAGACGACAAAUAUAACAGAGGAACCCCUUUUUUCCAAAAAAAAAGACAAAUAUAACAGAGGAGGGAGACAGAGCAGGAAAAAGAGUUCUGGUUUUUGGAAGAAGACCGGAUUUACUGUUAACAUGAUCAACCCAACAGUCCAACAGCCCAUGACAAGAAAGAAGAAGAAUUGAGCCAUCAACAACGCAAGCCCACAACUCAGCUCAAGACACCAACAGCUAGCUUGACUGUCAACAGCUCAGCCUUCCCUGAAAACAAGCAGAGUAUGGAUUCAACAAUUAAGUUGGAGAACAGAUUUGGUCUCCUUGCAGAAAACGACAUUUAAGCUCUCUGAGUAGAAAAUUCCUUAAUAUAUUCCAUUAGGUUAAGCUUGUCCUCUCUGUAUAAAUAACAAAGGAUGUACAAGUUAUUAAGUAUAAAAAGAAAAAAAAUUCUUAAGUAAUAAAAAUGGAGUUUAAGCUUUGAGUA